GUACCGGUUGGGAGUUAUACCGCAGUGGCCCAUAACUGUAUAUCGGAGGAGAGCGACGUCAGAUAUACAGACGGUGC
rnacentral:sRNA from 17 species